rnacentral:rRNA from 1 species
AUUGAACGCUGGCGGCAGGCUUAACACAUGCAAGUCGAGCGGGGGAAGGUAGCUUGCUACCGGACCUAGCGGCGGGCGGGUGAGUAAUGCUUAGGAAUCUGCCUAUUAGUGGGGGACAACAUCUCGAAAGGGAUGCUAAUACCGCAUACGUCCUACGGGAGAAAGCAGGGGAUCUUCGGACCUUGCGCUAAUAGAUGAGCCUAAGGCGGAUUAGCUAGUUGGUGGGGCAAAGGCCUACCAAGGCGACGAUCGGUAGCGGGUCUGAGAGGAUGAGCCGCCACACUGGGACUGAGACACGGCCCAGACUCCUACGGGAGGCAGCAGUGGGGAAUAUUGGACAAUGGGGGGAACCCUGAUCCAGCCAUGCCGCGUGUGUGAAGAAGGCCUUAUGGUUGUAAAGCACUUUAAGCGAGGAGGAGGCUACUUUAGUUAAUACCUAGAGAUAGUGGACGUUACUCGCAGAAUAAGCACCGGCUAACUCUGUGCCAGCCGCCGCCGUAA